UAUUUUGCUGUAUAUUAACAGGAAGAAGCUGAGCUGGAAGAAGAGGAGAGAUCUGAAGAAGAAUCAGAAGAGGAGUCUGAGGAUGAAGCUGGAGCUGAAAAGCUGAAAGGCACUCAAGGUAUUAUUCAGGUUGACAAUCCUAAUGUGGCAAAACCAAAGAACGUGAAAGCACGAGAUAUCGAUAUGGAAAAAACAACUGAGCUUUCUAGGCGUGAAAGAGAGGAGAUUGAAAGACAAAAAGCUCACGAAAGGUACAUGAGGCUGCAAGAACAAGGAAAGACAGAACAGGCGAGGAAAGAUUUAGAGCGUUUGGCCCUUAUACGACAACAGAGAGCAGAAGCAGCUAAAAAACGAGAAGAGGAGAAAACUGCCAAAGAGCAGAAGAAGUCGGAAGCUCGCAAAUAAUUUUGGCAAUGCUCCAAGAAUUGAUAUCAAGCAAGUAGCUGGAUACGAGUUCACGGAUUAUUAUAUUUCUCUGUUGGCUAUUGUUACAACAGAUGUUCACUCCAUCGUCAUUGCUGGUUCGUCCAUGUUAUACAUUAAUUAUAUAAUUAUAAAUAAAAUGAGAUGGUUCAACAUAA